GUGCUAAGGUAGCAUAAUCAUUUGCUACUUAAUUGGUAGCUGGAAUGAAAGGUUAAACUAGCUUACUCAGUUUGUUGUGUUUUGUAAGAAAUUAAAGUCGAGGUAAGAAUUCUUUGAUCUGCUAGGGGACGAUAAGACCCUAGAAGCUUAACAAUAAGAGUAUUUAUUAGUUAUAAAAAUUAAUUUGUUUUACUGGGGCGGUAAAGGUAUAUAAACUAUUAGUGUAUUGAUAGAUCCUUAAAAUAAAGAUAAAACGGGAAAGUUACUCUAGGGGUAACAGUGCAAUAUUUUUGGAGAGAUCAUAUCGAUAAAAAUGUUUGCAACCUCGAUGUUGAAUUAAGAUGUCUACGUGAAGCAGCAGGUACGUGAGAGGGUUUGUUCAACCCUUAAAUUUUUACAUGAUCUGAGUUCAAACCG
rnacentral:rRNA from 1 species